CACCACCCUGAGCGGGUGCAGGAGUUCAGGAUAGUCACAGCUGUCAUGGCGGCAGUCGGGGGACACUGGUAGAUGUGAUGUUUGACAGAUGGCUGCCACAUCUCUUCGAAGAGUGGUGGCUGAAACCAGGGAGUCUCCAGGAAGGCUGGCUGUGUGACAGAACAGCUGAUAUCCAAACAAGGCUGUACUUCCCAGCUUCUUUUGUGGCUGAGCGUGUUCACGACAGAGUUGUGGCCAAGGCCAAUGGGACACACAUGGAGUUUUGUAUGAGAUCUUCGGGCUGCAGAAUUACUCAUCAGCGCUGGAAGCCUGCCCCCGCCAUGCUGUGGUGACCCUCAUCCCAGCGAGGCUCCCUCAGCUGGGCAGCCGUCUGCCCUGCGGUGAGGGGAAGGAAUUCAGCGUGAACUCUGCUCACUCAGCAGCCAGCCUCAAGGAGCUUGGGCUGUGGAAAAUCACAUGUGUUUUUCGAGUUGUUGGAAACCAAGGAAAUUGCUCCUCCAGUUGUGAAGUUGGCCAGAACACUGCCUGGAAGACCCCAGCUGGACCUCUGGGUCACAUCCAGGCGACACCUUGUUAAAAUCUCCAUAGAUGCUGCUGAGUGAACCAAAGUCACAGAUAGCUGCCUUUCAGACCUGUGCACACAGCCAGAGACGCGGAGGAAAUGGCGAUGACCAGGAGUCGUCUUCAUGGGCUCAGGAGGCUGAGAUAUGUGUCAGGCACAGAGCGUAUCAGAUGGAUUUUUGCUGAGACCUUUAGAUGCGCCCUGUCCCCUGAGGGAGCUGUAGCUCAGGAUGGGCUCAGAAGAACAUCUUCCAAGAGAGGCCACUCAGGACCUGGGUCCUGCUCGAGACCACAUUCCCUGGCCAUGGAGACUUCUGUUUUCCCUGGCAGAAGACUCAGGGCCCAAAUCCAACCUGUGUGUGAGCCAUUCCCAGGGAAGUGACGUCCCAUGGCCCCCUACCAAGAGUCGCCUCCAGCAUGACACACUCAAGCCGGGACAGCAGAGCGAAUUCCCAGAACCAGCUCUGGGCGUGAUGAUUCAGCCUUUGGAGGGGUCGGUGGUGCAAGACAGCUUCCUUCAUCCUCACUGCCACCAGGACCAGGCUGGGCCAGCGGGCAGGCAGGCAAAGUCUGGCUGCCGGGGGCUGCUCUGAGCCGGGGGGACAGAAGGAGACAGUCCCCCGACUCGAGGUCUCCGAGGGAAACAAUGAGAGCCCAGGGCCCAUGGGGUGUGAGAGGGAACAUGUGGCCUGAUUCCACUUGAUCAGCACACAGUAGUUCCACUGAAGUCAGUCAAUGAGAUUAGAGGGCCACAGCCAGGAUUCACACCAGGGGCCAGCUCCGGGCACAGUGCUGGGCAGGCCUUGGAGGGUCCUUCCACCCGGGUGCAGGGGUGGGGGAGCCCAGGUCCCAGGCCAAGUGCUCCCUGACCACUUCUCUCUCAGCUCUCCCUGUGUGGUCACCUGAGAGCUCUGGGGUCACUAGCCAGCUCCAUCACAGACGACCUUGGGGUAGGGCCGCUGACCUUGACCAUGAUGGAUCCUUCUGUGUGGCUCCUGGGUUCAUGUGAUGGCUGGAGCUACUCUUGAAAACAGGUUUCUAAAAAUGAGUACGAGGUCUGGGAUGUAGCUCAGUGGUAGAGGACUUGCCUGGUAUGGACAAGGUCCUGAGUUCGAUGCCCAGCACUGCAAGAAAAAAAAAAGUGGUGGUGGCAGUAUUCCGGCGAGGGGAAGGAGGGAAGUAGGUAUUUGUCCAGUGGGAACCUGGGGGUGACAGACUGCAGAAGGGAACAGGGGAGGGCGCCCAGGUGCCCAGACUGAAGGACGCGGCAGGUGGAAGUUCGCAGAGCCCACCGGCCAGGGCUGCAGAGGGUGGGAAGGACGGGGCGGCCAGCAGCCUCAAGGCGCUGAGUCCCCAGACCUGGACCCGGGGUCCUCUCCCAGGCGCUCUGCGCCCCCAGUCGCUCCCGCCCCAGACUUUCGGUCCUGGGCGCAGAGGCGGCUCGCAGUUCUGCAUUUCGCGCUCUGGGACGCGCCAGGAGGCCGCGCCGGACCGCCCCGUCCCCCGCAGCCCCUCCGUGUACGCCGGCUCCUCCUCCUCCUCCUCCUCCUCCUCGGGGUGGGGAGGUUGCUCCGGAAGCCCCGGCGCCCCCGCCCCGGCCGCUCACCCUGGAGAGGGCGGACCGCGCCACGC
rnacentral:lncRNA from 1 species